AAGGCUGUUCUUUUUUUUUUGAGUUCCUUAUCUGAAAAGGUUUGCCAUGUCUUCAUGCAAGUAGUUGUCAUGCUUUAGAAAAAUCACAAGCAGCAAAAAGUCAGAAUUGUCAGUUCAGAAGACACUGCUUGUUCCACUGGGUAAAACUGAGAAAGCAGUGCUGGCAAACGAUCUUUAGGAAAAAAAAAAAAAAAAAGGAAAAAAAAAAACACACGAUGGAAACAGCAGCAGAAUGAAGAUAAAAAGGCUUGCAGGCUUUAUUCUCAUUGAAGGUUGGCAACGGGAAAUCUGUUGGAGUAGAAGAAGAAUAUCUGAUAGGUCAUCUGUUGUGUAAUGAAGAAUAGAAGACAGAAGACAAGCUAGGAGAAGCAAGGUGAUUCCAAACCUCGGAGGAAUGUAAGAUCUUAUGAGAGAAACAUGAAAGCAAUACCUUUAUAAACUGACCAAAUUUAAUUUACUAUCAACGAGCUUUGUAAGACUGCAAGCUGACAAAAUCCAUUUAUAAUGUUAUAGGGUUUUGCACCAACAAAAUCCCCAAUUUAUUGAGCUCAAGUUCUCUAAUCUGGUGGCAGAGUCCAGAAGGAGCAACGUGCUUCAGAAACUGCAGUGGCCAUGACUCAGCUGGGUGCAGCACGAGCAGCGGCAACAUGUGGAUGUUGGCACGGAGGAGGCAGAUCUUGCACUGUGCAUCUCUGGCAAAGCCCAUUCCCCAGCCUAAUAACCGUGCCGAAGUGAGGAAGUCAGCCCUGCUUGCUCCCGACUGCAGCGCUUUGCUGGCUGCCUCCCCACUCGCAAUGUAAAUCCUCCACCUUUUGAACCGCGUGCACUUACCCCCGUAAUCGUUAACACGUACCUUUUUAUUUGUUCCCUUUGCAUGCCAUUAAGCCUGUGUGACACUGCACAUCUGCGCCUCAGCAUGCCUUUUCUGCAGACCAGUGAGUCAUUAGCAGAGAUAAGAUGAGUCCCAGAUGUUAAAGAAACAUGGUAGCACUCCAUGGAUUACAACUGGGACAAAUAAAAGCCAAAGUUUUAAUGUUUAUUGGGCAC